UACAUAGCUUAAUGAGGGGAACUCAGGGAACUGAAACAUCUAAGUACCUGAAGGAAGAGAAAGAAAUUCGAUUCCGUAAGUAGCGGCGAGCGAACGCGGAUUAGCCCAAACCAAUAAAGUUUUCUUUAUUGGGGUUGCGGACAUAUCAUAACGAAGAGGUAUCGUAAUUGAAGAGGUUUGGAAAGACCCACCACAGAAGGUAAUAGUCCUGUAUGUUAAACGAGAAGACUUUAGAUAUGAUCCAGAGUACCACGGGACACGUGAAACCCUGUGGGAAGCAGGAGGGACCACCCUCCAAGGCUAAAUACUACCUAGUGACCGAUAGCGUAUAGUACCGUGAGGGAAAGGUGAAAAGAACCCCGGGAGGGGAGUGAAAUAGAACCUGAAACCCUGCACUUACAAGCUGUGGAAGCACAUUUCUUGUGUGACCGCGUACUUUUUGUAGAACGGGCCAACGAGUUACGUUAAGUAGCAAGGUUAAGCACUUAAGGUGCGGAGCCGUAGCGAAAGCGAGUUUUAACUGAGCGUUCAGUUACUUGACGUAGACCCGAAACCGGGCGACCUACCCAUGAGCAGGAUGAAGCGAAAGUAAAAUUUCGUGGAGGUCCGAACCCACGAGCGUUGAAAAGCUCGGGGAUGACUUGUGGGUAGCGGUGAAAUUCCAAUCGAGCCCGGAGAUAGCUGGUUCUCCCCGAAAUAGCUUUAGGGCUAGCCUCAAGGUGAGAGAUACGGAGGUAGAGGAC
rnacentral:rRNA from 1 species